AGCGAACGCUGGCGGCAGGCUUAACACAUGCAAGUCGAGCGGGCAUAGCAAUAUGUCAGCGGCAGACGGGUGAGUAACGCGUGGGAACGUACCUUUUGGUUCGGAACAACUGAGGGAAACUUCAGCUAAUACCGGAUAAGCCCUUACGGGGAAAGAUUUAUCGCCGAAAGAUCGGCCCGCGUCUGAUUAGCUAGUUGGUGAGGUAAUGGCUCACCAAGGCGACGAUCAGUAGCUGGUCUGAGAGGAUGAUCAGCCACACUGGGACUGAGACACGGCCCAGACUCCUACGGGAGGCAGCAGUGGGGAAUCUUAGACAAUGGGGGCAACCCUGAUCUAGCCAUGCCGCGUGAGUGAUGAAGGCCUUAGGGUUGUAAAGCUCUUUCAGCUGGGAAGAUAAUGACGGUACCAGCAGAAGAAGCCCCGGCUAACUCCGUG
rnacentral:rRNA from 1 species